UGGGGAAUAUUGCACAAUGGGCGAAAGCCUGAUGCAGCAAUGCCGCGUGUGUGAAGAAGGCCUGCGGGUUGUAGAGCACUUUCAGUGGGGAGGAAACAGUUGCGGGUUAAUAUCCCGCGACCUUGACGUUACC
rnacentral:rRNA from 1 species